AACAGUGAUGUUAUUGAGCAGUAAAGUCACUGUUUGGCACAUAUUAUUUCUUAAUUUGAAAUGGCUAAAUCAUGUAUAUUAUUUGGAAUAUGGAAAGGCUAAAUCAGGUAUGUUAUUUGGAAUAUAAAAAGAUUUAAUCAGGAAUGUUUUAUAGAAUCUGAAAAGGCUUAAUCAGGUAUGUUAUAUAAAAUAGAAAAGGCUAAAUCAGGUAUGUUAUAUAGAAUAUUAAAAGGCUAAAUCGGGUAUGUUAUAUAGAAUAGAAAAGGUUAAAUCAGGUAUGGUAUAUACAAUUCUAACAGGACCCGCAUUUUUCCCUAUUGAACAUAGAAAAUCCGAAAGUGUGUGUUAUUAUGCAAUAAAAUCACUGUUUGACGCUCUAUAUUUAGACAUGUGACGUAAUAAUUAUACAUGUGACGUAACCACUAAAAAUGUGACGCGCUGACAAUAAGUACGGAAACAAAGGUGCAAUUUAGCUAAUUAUCAUGUACUGCAGCAUUUAUUUGUUGAUGUCGUGUAUAAUUGAAAUAAUAAUAUAUACGAAUUGGUGAUUUUAUUGCUCGAUAACAUCACUGUUUGUCGUUCGGAUGCAAAUCAUUAUAUCACUCGGGCUACGCCCUGGUGAUAUUAUUCCCAGCAUCCAAAUUCCAAACAGUGAUGAUAUUGAGCAAUAAAGAAGCAGUUUGGGAUAUAUUAAUUCUUAAUUUGAAAAGGCUAAAUCAGGUAUGUUCUAUAGAAUCUGAAAAGGCUAAAUCAGGUAUGUUAUAUAGAAUAGAAAAAGGCUAAAUCAGGUAUGCUAUAUAAAAUAGAAAAGGCUAAAUCAGGUAUGUUAUAUUGAAUAUUAAAAGGCAAAAUCGGGUAUGUUAUAUAGAAUAGGAAAGAUUAAAUAAAAA